rnacentral:rRNA from 1 species
GCAUAUCAAUAAGCGGAGGAAAAGAAACCAACCGGGAUUGCCUCAGUAACGGCGAAGUGAAGCGGCAAGAAGCUCAAAUUUGAAAUCUGGCCCCCUCGGGGUCCGAGUUGUAAUUUGCAGAGGAUGCUUCGGGAGCGGUCCCCAUCUAAGUGCCCUGGAACGGGCCGUCAUAGAGGGUGAGAAUCCCGUCUGGGAUGGGCGGCCGCGCCCGUGUGAAGCUCCUUCGACGAGUCGAGUUGUUUGGGAAUGCAGCUCUAAGCGGGUGGUAAAUUUCAUCUAAAGCUAAAUACUGGCCGGAGACCGAUAGCGCACAAGUAGAGUGAUCGAAAGAUGAAAAGCACUUUGAAAAGAGAGUUAAACAGCACGUGAAAUUGUUGAAAGGGAAGCGUUGUCCACCAGACUCGCCCGGGGGGGUUCAGCCGGCACGUGUGCCGGUGUACUCCUCUCCGGGCGGGCCAGCAUCGGUUUGGGCGGCUGGUGAAAGGCCCCGGGAAUGUACCACCCUCCGGGGUGUCUUAUAGCCCGGGGUGCCAUACAGCCAGCCUGGACCGAGGCCCGCGCUUCGGCGAGGAUGCUGGCGUAAUGGUGGUCAACGGCCCGUCUUGAAACACGGACCAAGGAGUCUAACAUCUAUGCGAGUGUUCGGGUGUCAAACCCGUCCGCGCAGUGAAAGCGAACGGAGGUGGGAGCCCCUCGGGGCGCACCAUCGACCGAUCCUGAUGUCUUCGGAUGGAUUUGAGUAAGAGCAUAGCUGUUGGGACCCGAAAGAUGGUGAACUAUGCCUGAAUAGGGCGAAGCCAGAGGAAACUCUGGUGGAGGCUCGCAGCGGUUCUGACGUGCAAAUCGAUCGUCAAAUUUGGGUAUAGGGGCGAAAGACUAAUCGAACCAUCUGGUAGCUGGUUCCUG